UAACACCAUUAAGAUAUGAUGAUACAAUAAUCAGUAAUGAUAUAAUAAGCUGUAAUAUUAUAGUAAACCCUAAAAGUGUACUAACAAUUUUCAUUUUGAACAUCCUAUGUGAUAAAGUCCUUAGCUCCUUUAUUUUCUGAGAUUUGUCAGGGUACUUAUAAUUGAAUGCGAAGGUUGCAGUCCUUAGAUAUUGAUUUAUGAGUUAACAGCAUGACGCCUGCAGGAGGUGGGAGGAUUCCUCUGGUUUACAUUCCAAAAAGGAACUGAAAUAAAUGAAGGACAGAUGGGAGAGUUGGUUUUUCUGAAAAUAUUGUUUUACUAUCACUAAAUAUAUAAACAAGAUAAAAUUGGCAAAAAGGUAUUUCUUAAAUAGUAUUACCAAUAGAUUGUCUUACUGUGUACAUGCAUUUAUCUAUUGAAAUUCCAAAAUGUUGCAAAAACAUUAGCCAAACAUUGAAUCUGUCUAUGUAUCUAUUUCAUUUCUAUAGUGUAUAAUAUACAGUAUCAAUUAUCAGAACGUGCUCGUUGUCUUGCAAUCAUUGUAAAAGUCCAAAUAUUUUGUGUAGAUACAAAUACACAGCUCCCAACAUUAUUAUCAUAUGGAUAUAGGGGGGCACUUUAAUUUUAGGGGUGUGGGUGAGGGUGUGGCCGGGGAUGGGGCUGUUCUGAGACAUUUUAGGUGACUUUCUUAUAACAAUUUAUAGAACUAAAAUGUAAUUGAUAACAAGAACAAUGCAUCUUAUUUACACAGACUGAUUUCUAAAACACAUUUAUUGUAGUUUAAAGACACAUUACUGGGAGUAUUAUUGGUGUGGAGCUCUGUUAUACAAACACAUAUUACUGGGAGUAUUAUUGCUGUGGAGCUCUGUUAUACACACAGACAUAUUACUGGGAGUAUUAUUGCUGUGGAGCUCUGUUAUACACUCAGGCACAUUACUGGGCGUAUUAUUGCCACCAUGGCCAAAACCAAAGAGCUGUCUAAGGAUAUCAGGGACAAGAUUGUAGACCUACACAGGGCUGGAAUGGGCUACAAGAUCAUCGCCAAGCAGCUUGGUGAGAAGGUGACAACAGUUGGUGUGAUUAUUCGCAAAUGGAAGAAACACAAAAUAAUUGUUUCCCUCGGUCUGGUGCUCCAUGCAAGAUCUCACCUUGUGGAGUUUCAAUGAUCAUGAGAAGGGGAGGAAUCACUCUAGAACUACACGGGAGGAUCUUGUUAAUGAUCUCAAGGCAGCUGGGACCAUAGUCACCAAGAAAAC